rnacentral:rRNA from 1 species
GCGUGAAUGAAGAAGGCCUUAGGGUUGUAAAGUUCUUUCAACUGUGACGAUGAUGACGGUAGCAGUAGAAGAAGCCCCGGCUAACUCCGUGCCAGCAGCCGCGGUAAUACGGAGGGGGCGAGCGUUAUUCGGAAUUACUGGGCGUAAAGGGUGCGUAGGCGGCCCAUCAAGUUAGACGUGAAAGCCCCGGGCUCAACCUGGGAAUUGCGUUUAAUACUGGUGAGCUAGAGUACGAGAGAGGAAAGUGGAAUUCCUAGUGUAGAGGUGAAAUUCGU